CAGUAGCCGCGGUAAUACGAAGGGUGCAAGCGUUACUCGGAAUUACUGGGCGUAAAGCGUGCGUAGGUGGUGGUUUAAGUCCGUUGUGAAAGCCCUGGGCUCAACCUGGGAAUUGCAGUGGAUACUGGGUCACUAGAGUGUGGUAGAGGAUAGUGGAAUUUCCGGUGUAGCAGUGAAAUGCGUAGAGAUCGGAAGGAACAUCUGUGGCGAAGGCGACUAUCUGGGCCAACACUGACACUGAGGCACGAAAGCGUGGGGAGCAAACAGGAUUAGAUACCCCUGUAGUCCCUGUCUCUUAUUU
rnacentral:rRNA from 1 species